UUCCCACAAUUCCUAUAGUGAUAGUACUUCCUGGUUAGAUUCCACGUAGCUUCGGUGGCGUUAUAGAGCUUCAGAGUAGGAAAAUAGCUGCAAACAAAGACUCUUAGGGCUUUAUUCAUGUAUCUACGACUUUUGUUCAGUCGCGUUUAUAGACGUGUUUGUUACAUUUGAUAAUAAUGAAGCCACAGGCGCGCGUGGCGCUGUGUUUGCCCUCAUAUAAAGGCUAGGCUAUGCUAUCAAGCUAAUAUCAGCAAGACUAGUUAGCAAGUAGUUGUGUUGUUUACAUAUUUCUUUCAAGAUGUAUACUUUAUUAUCUGGUUUAUAUAAGUACAUGUUCCAAAAGGACGAAUACUGUGUUUUAAUCCUGGGACUAGACAACGCUGGGAAAACGACCUUUCUGGAACAGACCAAAACCAAGUUCAGUAAGAACUAUAAGGGAAUGAAUUUAUCAAAGAUCACUACCACGGUUGGCCUGAACAUUGGUACAAUAGAUGUGGGCAAGGCUCGUCUCAUGUUUUGGGAUCUUGGAGGUCAGGACGAGCUCCAGUCUCUGUGGGACAAAUACUAUGCUGAAUCCCAUGGAGUCAUCUAUGUGAUAGAUUCAACUGAUGAAGAGCGCCUGUCAGAGUCGAAGGAGGCCUUUGAGAAAAUGAUCAGCAAUGAGGCAUUAGAAGGUGUCCCUCUCCUCGUGCUAGCCAACAAGCAGGAUGUACCGGACUGUUUGUCUGUGCCAGACAUAAAAACAGCCUUCAGCGACUCUGCCCCGAAGAUCGGAAAGAGAGAUUGUUUAGUCCAGCCCUGCACUGCUCUGACAGGGUAAGAUUGCUCUGUAAUCUGAAGGUUGGAUUUCCAAAAAACAUAUGGCAGUGGCUGAAAUGUCCUCUGAAGGCGCAUUAUUUGCAACUACCAACCAAACAAAUCUUUACUUGGGAUGGAGUGAACGAAGGCAUAGAGUGGAUGGUUAAGUGUGUGGUCCGGAACAUUCACAGGCCUCCCAGACAGAAGGACAUCACGUAAGAGGACCCAGUACUCUUUACUCAUUUUGGACUUUCUCCUUAAGGACAUUCCAUGUAAACCCUGGAGCUGAUGACUCUUCUCUCCUCGUUUGGACUUCUGCCUUUAGGAGUCCGUUACAGACAGUGCGACAGGAUCAUUGUGCUUUGAAUGGGCUCUGUUUUUCUUGUUUUGAAGCUGUGUAAUGACCUCUUCUGUCCCAUUCUGUCACUGUCUGUAUGGAGCUUCACUGGCUGACUGUAAGGCGUCAGCAGGACAAAUCCAGCUCUGAAAUAUACAACACUGUAGAGGAGGAGCUCCAUUUUUUGAACAGGAUAGAACAUUUUCUGAGUAUAUUCCGGCAAACGGUCUCGACAGGAGACCUGGUUGACAGUGUUUAGACCGAGCAUGGAGUCCAGCUCGCACUAGCGCUUUGAACUCUCCAACCCGAUUUACAGACCAUAGAACCAGGAAGCACUCGCCACUCUGCUUCUUUACUUGUUUCUAACAACUGAAACCUUCAUUGUGACGUUAAUCACUCUUCAUUUAUUUGGCUUCACAUAAUUAACACAAGAUAAACUCAUGUAAGAUAAGUGACAGUUGAGGUUUUGUUAAAUGAUUUCGCAUUUAUUAGAGGACAUGGCAAUGGAGCUCCAUACAGAGGGGAGGGGGGGGUUGUAAGCCACACAUACAACUGUUGGCUUGAGAUGUCCGCUGUCUGUUAUCUAUCUUCUGUAACACAUUCAGAGUGAUCAAACAGGUUUUUAUUUCACUGGGUUUGGAAUUGUUCAUUAUGUUGCAGAGGGCCUACAGCUGGGUGCAAUAUUUGUAAAAACUAAACGCACAAACUGUGCUGAGAAAUCGUACUGACCUCUGCUGAAUUACUUUGACCUGGUUUAACUAGGGGUGUGUGAAGUAGUUAACAAUUGAAGGUGACUUAUUUUGUCAGUCACUAUAUAUAUAUAUAUAUAUAUAUAUAUAUAUAUGGUUGAUAAAACAAUAAAUCUCAGAUUUCAAACAAACGGCAUCUGUCAUGUUUUAGUUCAAAUCAGUCCUGCUGUCAGUUCUCACACCGACCCUCACACCCUCAACGGGACGGUUUGUAUCCAGCCGUGAAAGCUAAUCAUGCUAUCAGUGACUGGGUGAGUGUUUCUGUUUGUGUUUUUCUACAUGACUGCAUGAAUUUAAAGGCAACCAGUUGAUUGUGAUUAUAUUGGACUCCCACAAGUCAUGAUGCACGACUAUUAUGUUUUUGGCAUUUUCGGUUUGAUGCUAAUUAUAUAUAUUUUAAAUGUGUAUAUAAAUACAGCUCCACUUGAGACCACUGUAGCAUUAUCAGAUUCUAUGGUUUUAUUAUUCAUAGGCAUGUCUUUGAGUUAAAUGUUUAUUUAUUUUGUAUUAUUGUAUUCUAUAAACUACUGAAAAUGUUUUCUCUGUGUUGGAAUUCAACAGGUACUGGGAUAGCUGCCAUACAUGUAGAGAUAAAGAUUUAAGAACAAUAAGAGUGGUCUUAAUUUAUGCCGGGGCUGUAUCUAUAUUGAUUAAGUCAAGCGUACUAAAGACUAAGGGCAAUAUUGCUAAUGACCUGUGGUAUUUAGAACAAAAACUGUUUCAAGAAAUCGAGUAUAUCCCAAAAGGAUAAAGGGUAAACAUCUUAAGGAUAUCAUGUGAGCUUGGUCUGCUGCAGCACGGUGCGACCCUCUGACAGAAUCAGCUAUAGCUAAGGAAGGAAAGGACAGCACAAGCCCUUUUAUCUUCCUUAUUGUAGAGAUGAUCAUUCUUGCUAGGCAUGGCUUAUCACAGGUACAAAGCAACAUGCAACACUUAUUUAUUUUCAGUAUUUCUCAAUAUCUGGAAUAUACUCUGGUCAGCCUGUGCACACACACACACACACAAAAUACUAUACAGGCCCAACCAGCAGGAUCAGUUCUGUGGCCCUUCAACAGGAGCUGAGGAUCAAUCUGGGCCUGGAGGAUGCGCUCCUCCCCGCUGAUUACAGUGUUUCUCUGCAUUUGGAUCACUUCAUAGUGUAAUGUUCACUCAGAAGCAUAUGCCACUGAACACAAUUUAUUUUAAUUUAGUAGGAGGGUCAUGAGUGUUAGGGAAUAUUUUUUCUGUUUAACCUUUGACCUAGUUCAUAAUUUUCUCCUUCCUCAGUCUGCGUUCCCAUGGCAUAGGUCUUUAGACCUUGGGGUUGCUGUAAUCUCCCUUAAGGAGGGGCAGCUUGGGCGCUUUGUUGAUGCCAGUCUAUGACCGAGCACAAACUGACCUGAGAUAGUUUAUUGUUCAGGGUCGUCUAGAAGCCCUUCUUAUCUGGAACGUAGGUUCUUUUCCAUGGACGACAGCUUUCGUUAGAUUCAGGGUCCAUAUUUGUUAACUCUCACUGAUGAGGCAAUGUUGAAUAACACACUGAACUGGUUAAAACCUCGGACUGCAGAAGAGAUCUUCAGAAUUCAGAAACUGCUCUGCCAACUCGUGGCUGCAGCACAUGUCUUGUCAAUUCUCCAUCCCUUAACUUCAGAAUAAACCUUCAGUGUUUGCCAUCAAA